ACACACAGUAGGACAACCGGAAGCGCCUGAGUAAGGAUUUCGGCGCUCAGUGAUACGGUUCACUAGACGACGUUGUCAACACGUAAUGGCGGCCAUUAUUUGACGUUGGAUUUGGCAUUCCACUCUGAAAAGUUGACAUUUAUGACAUUCUUGGAUGCUUACACUUUAUGCUAAACAACACAAAAGGUAAAGGUUUAUUCCAGAUAUUUUAGUUAAUUAUUAUCAAAUAAGUCGGAUCCAAAGAAAUGAUUUAAACGGUAAAAAUAAAGUGUAAAAUUAUAUCAAAGACAAAGAUGAAAAUUGAAAUCAUUUCCUUUUCUGACAUAUACUAGUAUUUAAUCAACUAUUUACUGGUGUAUUACAUUCGGAUUUCGGUCUUAGGUAUCCGCACUUGUUUCCGGAAAUAUUACACCCACACAAGUUGUCAACAUCCGUUUUCAAACUGGUCAAGGUGUUCUUCACGAUCUCCAUGGAAAAUAUUCACGCAAUCACUUCUUGCUCAGAUAAUAGAACAUUGUAAACCUCUAACUGCAAAUACGGACCAAAAUGAAUAAAAUUCGAAAGCACGUAUGAUCACGUUUCAUGCCGAUUGUAAGUUCUCUAAAAAGGGGGGGGGGGUAAUUUCAAGGCCCCAAAUUAUAGGCUACUGAGGCUACACGAAUUCUGCUGAACGUCUCGGGUUCAACUUAAAAGUCCAUGUACUAAAUUAUUGGAAUGUAUUUAAAGACACCUACUUUCACUGUUGGCUAUUUUAUACCUGGUAUGAUAUUUCAUUUGAAAAAACAUUUUUGUGUCCCUCAUUUCAUAUACACCAACAUGUUAUAUUCAUAAAAAUUAAAUCUUUCAUAGACAAAAAAUACAAAGGGAAAGCGAUCACAGUCACAGAUUUCUCUUUCACAUAUACAAAAAAAAAAAUAAAAAUUAGAUAGCCAUUCUCUAAAUUUAUAUCUCAUAUUUUAAAAGAAAUUUACUCAUUGAAAUUAACCACUGAAUCACCCACCCAUUAGGGAGCUUACACAUGCAUUAACAUGUAUCCCCAUGACCAGGAAUGGCAGGAUAUGUUACAAAUUUAAUAUGCCUGUACAAUUUCUUUAUAUCCAUCAAGUUAUAUUAAUCCUAUAGGCUAUAGUCAUAUAUAUAUAUAUACAAACUAAUUAGAAAUGAUAAUCCAUUGACAAUACAUUGUAGUAAUUACUUUAAAAAAAUGUACCCCAACUUCAUUAAUAUCAUAAUAUUAUCCAAUUAAUGGUGUUAUGACAGUGAUGGUUCAUGGAUUUAAAUUAAAACUAGGUUGUGAGUGCCCCCAAAAUGUAUAAAAUUUCAGCUUGCAUUGUACAAUUGACAUGUUAGUUAUUUAUGUACACUAUUAUAAUACAUGUAUGUUUUAUUUGCCUGUAACUUUUAUGUUUUGAGCAGAAAUGCUAGAGGCAUAACAAUUUCUAAUACAUAAUAAAUAUAUAAAAUUGAGAAUGGAAAUGGAUAAUAUGUCAAAGAACCAGCAACCCAAACAAAGAGCAGACAACAGUCGACGGCCACCAAUGGGUCUUCAUUGGAGCAAGAAAAUAUGUUUUUUCUUGGUAAUUUAUUUGGCAAAUUUGUAUUCAUGUGUUGAUAAUAACAAUGCAAAGUUUAAUUUUGCUUUGAAUAAUUUAGUAUGUAUUCAGCUUAUUUAGUAAUUGUAUGUACAUUUGCUUUAUAUAUACAGGAUGGAGAAAGAUGUUCACUAUGAAUCAAAAAUUCAAAACAGAGGACUUUUAUAUAUCAACAAAAACAAUUGCAGUACAUGCACAUGUAUGAUUGAUAUACAUACAGCAGGAAAACAGUAAUCAAAUAGAGAGUCAACAACCAGUAAUGUCUAAAGCAAAAUUAUUUUGUUAAUACAAAAUAAUAUGACUAGAAUAUAUUAAGGGUAAGUAAUCCAAAUGUGUCUGUUCAGGGUAACAACAGUGGGUUAUUUACAAUGCGCUAUGAUUUCAAUCCCUCAAAUAUGAAACAAAAACAUGAUAAGACAUUUUCAUGAUUAUGUAUUAAAACUAUUUUGAUAAGGAAAUAGACUGAAAAUAUCUUACAUUUAACAGUCAGACAAGAAAAUUGCCAAUGGAAUAAAUUGGGAAUGGAAGUUAAAAUUUAUAGUUUAUAUUUAUUUAUGAAAUGCACAUUUAUAGGUCAAAUCAUACACAGACUUGAAGGCCAAAUGGUAUACUUUUAAUAGUUUAAAGAUUUUAUACUAUUAUCUAUGCUGUAUAAUUUCAAUAUAGUUUCAUUUGGAUGUAAAACCAAAUUUCAAGAAUGAAGGGUACUAUAAUUUAAAAUUAAUUUAUAAAGAUAAAAAAACAAUAUAAGGGAAUUACUCUUACUUGAUGUGCAUCAUAUCCAUGAGAAUGAAGUGGUUUAAUAAAAUUGACCAUUUUCUUCAGAUAAGAGAAUGACUUAAGCAGACCAUAUUUUGGUCAAAGAUGCCAAUAACAAUGAAAUAUAAUAUAAUUUAAUUAUCAUUCAUCAUUACUUUUCAAUUGAAUCAACAAACUUAAUUUAAUAAUAACAAAAUAUUUUUUUUAUUUUCAGUACACAACACAUCCUGUCAGAAAAAUAAUUUUACUGGAGGAUGAAAAUUUUGAUACCUGGAAUCAGCAAAAUUUAUAUGAAAUUUGUUAUGAGAGAUAUAUUCAUGUACAGAAUGGUAACCGAGGUGGUUCAAGAGUUAUUAGCAGACAUUUUUGUUGAACUUGUGCAGGAUUUGAAUAAAUGAAACUUAACUCAGUCUUAAGCUGACUAUGGGCUCAAUGUGUAGUAAAAAGAGGAUUUUGAAAUAUGCAAGACUCAUCAACAUUAAAAUGUGCAUAAGUGACAGUGAAAUGUCACCAUAUUUAGUAAAAAAUUCAGAUUAUUGUCUCAGUUGUUUUCAUGAAAAAAAAAUUUCAAAGG
rnacentral:lncRNA from 1 species